ACAAUAAACAAACUCAUCAAACACAUAACACAACAGAUAAGAAUAAGGUAUUACAACAGUUAUAUAUUACCUUGAGUGCACCAAAGACACGGUUUCCUGUAGUGGUCCUGAUAAGACCAACAUCAAGUAGAGCACGGAAUGGUCUCCUGGACUCGGUUGGCUCGACGGAAAAGUCCUCUCCGGUAGCCUGUUCAUGAUUUUAUACGGUUAGAGAUAAAGCCGGAGAUAAAGCUCAAAUCAGAUUUACAUGAAACAUUACCUCAAGGUUGCCCUCGUACUCUUCAUCCAUUUCCAACAUCUUCAGAACACGGCGAGCCAAUAGAAGCCCGGUGCAGUAAGCUGUGUUUCACAAGUAAAGGGUACUAACUAUUUAGCAAGACAGAACAAAUCAACUAUACCCAGAAAACUAAAGCAAAGGACUGAUCAGUACCUGCAGCGUAGUUGGUAAGUCCAACGGUGAGACCAUACUGAGGCAACUCAUGAGCGUAAGCAGAAGCCUUGACAAUGUCACCGGCUAUGCUUGCAGACACGAUUUGUGCGACUAUGUCUUUGUUGGUGAACCUGACAACAAAACGGUACUUUGGUGUGUUGUACUUGUUCUUGUCUUGGUUGAUGAGACGGAUCCUUGCUCUGUAAUCAGUCUUCCCAUCUGCACAAAAAUGAAAAAAACCUUUCAGAACGCAGACAAUAUAAAUCCAAAGAAACAAAUGAAGAAUCAAAUCAAAAUACCUCUCCUUCUCCUGAACUUGACUUGGUACCUCUUGAAGUAAGCGUUCGACUUGGAUGGCUUCACAAACACCUAUCAAUAUAAAAAACAUCUUAUAUCGUUAAGAGUUUUAUAUAAAGAACGAUGUAGCUGUUCUUCCUAAAGAAGCAAAGAUCUAUAUGAAAUAUCGUAAAGGUACAGCCUUUAAACAUCAAGACCAAAACCCAUUAAGAUUAUAGCCCUAUAGACUAAUGAAUUCUCGUUACCAAAGCUCAGACAAAUAUGAAAAAUCUAAGGAAACGCUGGAGAAAACUAAUGUAGGAGAUUUCCAUAUCAAACGAAAUGAAAAGCAGAAUCUUAUUGUUUGAGAAAAUUAAGAAGGCAGAGAGAUGAAAGCUAGGGCGUACCAUUGUUUGAAGCUAAGCGGAAGCUAAGCGGAAGCUUUGGGUGUGAGAUGAGAGUGUCGAGAAGACAAGAGGCGGAAUAUAAACCAAAAUGCAAGAUCUUAUAAUGAAAAACCCUAGAUGACUCCUUCGUGGGCUCUCCCUUAAUUCAACGGCCACGAUUUAUCUGGGCUUAAUAAUGUUUUAACGGUCUAGAUCGGUAUAAUGUAUUCUGCAUGGGCCCAUUAGUCUUUGUAUUUGGGCUUUUGUCUUCCCAAACUAUUCUGAGAUGUCUUUAUGUAUACUCCUUCCAUUUCGAAUUAGAUGCCGUUUUACGGAAAAAAAUUCGUUCCAAAAUUAGUGUCGUUUUAUGAUUUUAAUGCAAAAUUUAUUAAUUUUUUAUUCUAAUAUAUUUUUCUAUUGGUUGAAAUCUGGUUAGGUGUAUUGGUAAUGAUGUUUUUAUCUAGUAAAUAGAUAAACUUAAAUGUUUUAUUAAUCUGUGUGUCGAAUUCUAGAACGACAAGUAAAACGAAACAGAGGAAGUACUAAGCUUACUUAGCUCGAAAUUGUUUAAUAAAAUGCAAUAACUCAAAAUAUUUAGUGAAGUUAUUUUAUAAUUUUGGUUUAAAAAUAGUAUCGCAAAUUUUUUCUGUUUAUUGGCUUUUGGUAUUUAUUUAUUUUUGUGUCAGUCAACAAGAGUUUAUAUUUAUUUAUGUGAUGCAAAUAUAUGUUGGACUAUAAUCUUAAAAUUUUGGGUGUGACAUUACUUAUUAUGAGAGAUAUUCUAUAAUGUUGGUAUUUUUUUUUGAAACAGAGUACAAAUGAUGGAAAUUAAUCUGUAACUGAAUAGUAUGUCAUAGCUUAAAACAAAUGUACAACUUACAAAAUUUGUAACUAGUUUGUGUAGUUCUUAAGCAUGCGGCUCAGGACUGGUAAUUUGUGUAAUUCUUGAGCAUGUGGCUCAGGACUGGUAAUCAGUGUUUUAGUGUAACUAAAUCAUAUAGCUACGACUUGAAUGUAGUCAUUGUCAUUACUAAAUUAAGUGUGGGAAUUCCACCAAUAUUCUAUUUUGGUCUUUUUUUUAUCACCAAAACAUUUAUCAGGUCUGUAGCUUUCAAGUAACAGAAACGCUCCUUUCUCCGGUCCGACGUUUGUGUCGGAACCGAAGGCGUCCUCCUCCUUUCCUUUCUCUUUUUUAUUUUGCCUCCUCCCAUCUGUUCAACCUCUGUCGAUAUGCAAGCGAUUCUGGAUGUGUCCGUUUGUCACCGGAGACCUCUCUGUUGGUUAAAGGAGACAAGACGACGGUUCUGGAAAAGCGGGGAGACUGAGGAGCGACUGAAGCGGGGGAGGUCGGCUUUUAGGACUGAAGAAGCUACCAGAUCUAGUUUUCCUCUUUUCAGAUUUGGGCGAUUUCUUCGGAAUGCCGGCGUGUGACCAUUGUGGGAACCCUUCUCCGUCUUAGAUCUACCUCACUGAGCGGAGGUGAGAAGUACCGAAGAGCGAUUGACAAGCGGUGGAAGAUGUUUUGAAGCUCCGGUUCUCGGAAUCAACGUGUCGCAGAGUCCUUCGUCGCCGGAGGUGGUAGCUUUGCAGCAGGUACACGGUGAGGCUCUACUUCCCAGCGCCGGCGGUGGUCUGGUUACUUCGUCGGUGGUAUGAAUCUCACGUCAUCUGAAGCUAGGUUUUGCUGUUCCGAUUACGUUAUGCUGUCAUCAAGUCCGCCUUUUAUCAGUAUGCCAAUUCAGAAUUUGCAGGUGUACUAACUGGUGUGCCGUCUUUUCUGGCUUAGGAGCGGGACAAGAAAUUUGGUGGUGGUGGUCUAGGCCGGGAAUGCUCCGAAAGUAAUGGAAUGGAUGUGUUGGUCCAAGCUUAUCAUUCUUAUCUUUUGGUGAUCAGCACUUUGCUCUUGUAAUUAGUAGCCUGGUUUAGAUUCUAUCACUGCUGGAUGUAAGGUCUUCGUCUCUUGUGGUCGAUUUAGGUGGUUAAGAGGUGGCUCUUCCUGAGUCGUAGGAAGAGUUCAUCUCAUCGGGGUGAAAUGGGCAAUGAACAACAACCGGGUAGUGUAGGAUCCAAUCAAGUGAUCUUAAGCGAUACUAGGUUAGUUCGUUUGUCCUAGUGGUUCAAUCUCUUGAGAGGUUUAAAAUCAUGUGUAACUCCAAAAGUUGGUGAAUGAAAGUUGAUGAUGAGUUAAAAAAAAAAAAAAAACCUUUACCAGGCAUGAGUCAUGAUUAUAAGACCCACAACCGCCUAUUCACAUGACAGAAUUUGAAACCUCUUUAUUACAGGCAGAUCACAAUUCAUAAAAUGUAUUAUCAUUUUUAGCUGCUGGUGCUCGGUUUUCGGGAUACCAAAGAGCUACCUUGGGACCUUUGUGAUGAUGUGUGUUCUUAUGGUCACGAACUCCAAGUAGUUGUCACAAGGCCAAGAUUACAUGUAAAUAUAUAUUUUUUCCUUGAGAUGGAGGAGGAUUUGGUACCUCGAAACUAAGAGAAUUGUCAAAGCUAUUUUUUCUUAGGCUGAAGUGGUAUUCUAUGGUGCAUUGCAAUUCGAAGAAUUGUAUCCAUUCUAGCAAUGUAAAAUUUUUGUUUGAGAUAUCGUCUUUCUCAUAACUGAUAGUUCGAUAAGUUUUCAUUAAAAAAGAUAGUUCGAUAAAUUUAAACCCUAUAGUACCAUAAAGAAUAUUAUGCAAAAUCAAAUGCUGUGAAAUGUGCAUGUGUGACUAAUGAGAACGCUAGUGCAUUUGCUAUAGGAUCUGUAGAAUGGAAAGAAACAAUAUGUAAUGUGAAUAAACAAUGACUUUCUGAUCAGUGAUUGAUGAAGUAGGGGAAGAAGGUAACGUGAGAUUGAUCAUUUAGCUGAAUAAUAAGAUUCUCGAAUAGUUAACCAGAGGCUUUCUACAUUAAACGAAUUGAUUUGCGAUGAUCCACACACCCUUCGUUUAUGCCAAUCCCUUCUAAGUUGAGUUGAGACUAUUCUCUUCCUGGCUUUCUCAGCCUGCAAAUAAUAGAGAUUCCAGUUACUUCAAAGAUUAAAAAACAAAACAGAAUGUGGAAGUGUGACAAGCUAAAAUGACUAAUUUUCUAUUCCAAGUACUAACCUGUUCGUUCCAAUUUAUAGAACUUGUAAUGAUAUAAAGUAUAAUGGCUCUUGCACAGCGGAUCCAACCACAACACCGCACACUAUCCUUUUCGUUAAAAUGACGAUAAACUCUAACCGGAGCUCCUAUGAGAUUACCAUAUUGUUCCAAGCUCCAAUAUGGUGCCAACCACUUCCUCUAGCAACCCCAUUUAGAAUUGCAGUAAAUCCAUCAUGGAUAAAAGAAAGAUAGAGCAAUACGGGUUUGUUCAUUAGACAUCGCUCUUUGCUUUUUAAUUUCAGAUACUCGAGUUAAAAAGACUACUGCAUAUUCAAGAUUUUGUGUAUUGUUUAAUCCAAUGUAUUGUUUGAAAGGUUAUAUCAGCCUUUGAUUAUGAAAUGAUUGAUUGGUAGAGCAAUGAACAUUAAAGUACGCAUAAGAUCAAACUAUAAAAACUCCAAAAUCAUGAAAAUGUCGAAAAAAUUUAACUUCAUAGAAAAUGGCAAUCCUCAUACUCAAACGGACAUAAAAUGUGAAAACACGAGCAUAAGUUUUAAGUCUGGCAAAAAUGUAAAAAGCUACAAGAGACAUCAGGAGAAAGGCUUAAUGACGCUUUACUCUUCGUCGUCCUCAUCAUCAUCAUCCCCACCAGCUGCUCCGUUCAAUGCCUUGACUCUCUCGAUCAACUUGUUCUUCCUCUCCUCGUAGGUCAACUUCUUCAAGUUGUACCUGUUUAUCAGUCAAAACCACACAAUCAGGCACAAAUGCACCAAAAGCAUUAAGAAAGAAUGAAAUGCUUUUGUAAAUGAUUAACCUCUUGUGUGUCUUGGGAGCAGGUUUCUUGGUCUUCUUAGGGUUGGGGUCUGCACGGAUGGCUGCAUGAACCUUCUUGUACAGCUCCUCCAUGCUCUCAGCAUCAACUCCUUUCUUCAAGUACUGACUGAAGUGAGUCUGAAACUUCUCUGGCUCAUCUUCGUUCAACAUCUUCAUGUAGUUUGAGACGUGACCUCCAUAGAUGUAGUUCCUGUGGAUCUCAGCAUCGAGUUGCUUGUUCUCCUUGUUGAAACCAGCGAAUCUCUUGUCACUGUGUGGGAUAUCAAGUCCUCCGUCCAAGGCACCCUACAGUAACACCAUAAACGAACUCAUCAAACACACAAUACAACAGAUAAGAACAAGACAAAGAAUAAUGGCAACAGUUUUAUAUACCUUGAGUGCACCGAAGACACGGUUUCCUGUAGUGGUCCUGAUAAGACCAACAUCAAGAAGAGCACGGAAAGGUCUCCUGGACUCGGUUGGCUCCACGGAAAAGUCCUCUCCGGUAGCCUGUUCAUGAUUUUGAGCGGUUAGAGAUUACAGCCAGAGAUCUGAUACAUGAAACC
rnacentral:lncRNA from 1 species